AUUGAACGCUGGCGGCAGGCCUAACACAUGCAAGUCGAACGAGUGGCGGACGGGUGAGUAAUGUAUGGGAAACUUGCUGCAGGCGGGGGAUAACUACUGGAAACUGUAGAUAAUACCGCAUACCAUCGGAUGUGCCCAGAUGGGAUUAGCUAGUAGGUGGGGUAAAGGCUCACCUAGGCGACGAUCCCUAGCUGGUCUGAGAGGAUGCCCAGCAACACUGGACCUGAGACACGGUCCAGACUCCUACGGGAGGCAGCAGGGGGGAAUAUUGCACAAUGGGCGCAAGCCUGAUGCAGCCAUGCCGCGUGUAUGAAGAAGGCCUUCGGGUUGUAAAGUACUUUCAGCGGGGAGGCGUUACCCGCAGAAGAAGCACCGGCUAACUCCGUGCCAGCAGCCGCGGUAAUAC
rnacentral:rRNA from 1 species